rnacentral:tRNA from 1 species
GCGCGCUUAGCUCAGUUGGUAGAGCAUCUCAUUGACGUUGAGAGGGCCGGGGGUUCGAGUCCCUCAGCGCGCACAA